CACACACACACGUGAACACACACACACACACACCACACACACACACUACACACACACACACACACACACACACACACGUGAACACACACAAUGGUUUUAUUACAGUAGGGUUCAAUAUAGAUGUUGCCUUUUAUUUUCUGGACAGGGUCUUGUUAUGUAGUCAAGGCUAGCACUGGGUGUGACCCACCCAGGUCAGCCUGCUGACGGACCGGCAUUUCAGGCACGCCUAACAGCACUCAACCUAGAUAUUGCUUUAAAUGAACAGUAUGUCAUUUUUAUUCUCAUCUCACAAUUUUUUUUUAGUGAAAAUGAAGCACAUCAGAGUGAAUUUUCAAACAUUUCCAUUUUUCACGAUAAAAUACACGAUUCCCAUUAACAGAAAAGUAAAGUGAGUUAAGAGUGGUCCACAGAGAAGAAGGGAGGGGACAUUGAGAGCUAGUGAAAAAUUUGUACAGUUUAAUUUUAGAUACCAUCCAUUGUUUUUCUGCUUGGAAGAUGGGAGAAAUUACUAGCUCUUUCUUUCCUUCCUUCCUUUCCUUUUUCCCCCUUCCCCCUCCCCCUUUCCCCUUUUCCUAUUUCCUUUCCUUCUCUCCUCUCCUCUCCUCUCUCCUCCCUUCCCCUCCUCUCCACUCCCCGUCUCUCCUCCCCCUCUCCCUUCCCCCCUUCUUCCUCCUCCUUCCCUCCCUCCCUCUUUCUUCUUGAAACAGGGUCUCAUGUAACCUGGGCUGCCCUUGAACUCACUGUGCAUCUGAGGAUAACUUUGAGAUCCUCUCCACUCCGGCUGUGGAUUGCUCAGAGCUGGGACUACAAGUGUGCCCACCCCUGCCGCCCAAGCAUCCAAUAGGACCUCCUUCGUGUCUGGCAAGCACUCUAGGAGCUGAGCUACUGCCUAACUCACUGGCUCAGUCUCUUCCAGUCCCAUCCUGAGCCGAUUUCGUUCUUUAUACUUUUCCACUUUUCGCACCAGAGUCUGCUCACCGUUGGCUUCUGCGGUUCUGCGGUGUCUGUGACGGAAUCUUGAGUGAGGGUUUUUAGAUCUGACUGCCAGCGAUUCAUCCCCCCGCCCCCCCCCCAAAAAGAAAAGUAUUGAGAAAAGAAAUGUUCUGAACCGUUCUAAAUUAAUCAUAAUAAUCGGAGAACAGAAGUGAAGCGGGAGGCAGAGGAGAUUAUCAGUUAACAGACAGGGGCUGGGGUAGCUUCCUGGAGCUGACAACGUAUUUGAAAAAAAAAACCAAAUCAUGAGAAGGGGAGCUCUUUACCGCCUUGGGGCAUUUCUAUCCUUUACUCACCAUGGCAAGGAUGCAGGGAGAAACUGGGAGAGACUGGAGUGCCUCUCUCCCCUCCAAGGGCACGCCCCGCCCCCAAUUACUUAACUUCCUUCCCCUAUGCCCUGCCUUCUUUCUGAAAGUUCUAGCGUCUCCUAGGAGCACCCGGCUAGGGACCAAACUUGCACCCGUGAGCCAUAGAAAGAGCAGGGCAAACAGAAGAACGCCCAGUUGCAACUCCUGAGUGUGAGCGAACUUUUCAGACUAUUAACCCUAACCAACCCAGACGGGGGUAGGACCGACCUGUGUUCCUGUCUGACCUGUGUUCCUGUCUCGAACAUUCCCCGCUCUGCUGUGGGUAACCACGUGGGUUCCUACUGGUCCAAGAGAGGUAGCAAUGGACAGCUGCUGAAAGCUGCUCUCUCCAGCUGCUGGAGGCCAGAGAGGACAGUUAGCGGGCACUAAAUGUGAGGGGCUGCACUUUUUCUGUUGGUGAACAUCUCUUCCAGUGGAAUGAAGGGACCUGUAACUCACUGAUAACAGUUCCAGGACCACAUUCCUUUCUGGUUAGCGUCUGUAAGGGCUUCAUAAGAACUCCUGUUUUGGAAAAGCCUCCCUCAAGACCUGUGGGUUAACGUACUGGUUUUAAACGUCCUGACGUUUUCUAUGCUUAAGAUCCUCCUUCUGUUGAUUUUGUCCAUGAGUAGGAUCUUGCCCAGCUAUAAUAUUGAUCACGAUUUAAAGUUUCAGUUUGGCAUAGUGUCAUACUGCCUUCUUUUUAAGACAACAAAAAAAGUUCGUUCCUGAAUGUUUAAAGAAUUGAUUUCCUUUUCCUUUACACUCAACAACUUGUUUGAGAGAUUUGUUUCCGAGGAAUUUUUUUAAAAAGAUUUAUUCAUUUAUUAUAUGUAAGUACACUGUAGCUGUCUUCAGACACACCAGAAGAAGGCAUCUGAUCUCUUUACAGAUGGUUGUGAGCCACCAUGGGGUUGCUGGGAUUUGAACUCAGGACCUCUGGAAGAUCGGUCAGGGCUCUAACCACUGAGCCGUCUCUCCAGCCCCCGGAAUAUUUUUUUUAAAUGCAUCUGGUACUCCAUGUUGUAGUGAUUCUACAGAUUCGGGGCUUAUGCUUCAGAUGUAGAUGUGUAUUUGUGAGUAAGAUAUUUUUGUUAGAUAGGGAUUGAUGGAGGCAGAGUGGAAAUGAGAUAAAGUCAGGCAUCUCCAGACGCAGAAUUGUCUGGACAGACAGAACGACAGAAGCCACAGUCUCUCCCUAAAGUGAGACUCUGUGUGUGUGUGUGUGUGUGUGUGUGUGUGUGUGUGUGUAGAGAGAGAGAGAGGGGGACAUGGGACUUUAGAGGAUGGAGAAGGGGGAACUUUGGGGAUGGAAAAUUCAGCCUGCAAGGCAGUUCCCCUGCAGUCUGGAAACACCAGCAGGGUUGGAAUGUGGGUCUUCCCCGCAGGAGCUUGCCCUGAUCUUAUCAGUCAAGUCACCUUUCCUGUUCACAACAUCUCAGUCACCUGAGGCUUUUAAGUCACUAACCCUUCAUUCCAGAGACCAGAGACAGAUAAGAAAGGAGGAGCGAGGUGUCCUUUGAUUGCCUACAUCCUGUGGAAGAGGGGUGAUGGAGAGAAGGUUGGCUUCUGUCCCCAGGAUCAAGGGGACAUAGCAUGCUUUGGAGGAGGGUUUUAACCCAGCUGCACUGCAUCCUGAAAUCAUCGCCCUGGGCUUCCUAGACUCUAGGAACAAGAGACACGUUUAAAAAUUAAGCGUUGGAGGGCUGAAAACAGAUGACUGGGUUACAACGUGAGCCUGAGAGGUCGCCCAGGGAGGUGGAGGGAGGGCGAGGGCUCAGUUGUUCUACAAAGACUGAACUUGAGAGGGAUGUGAGUUCACAGUGACUGGUCCCACCAAAGAAACUUACCAGGGGCAACCAUCAGGAUCGGGAGAAAAUGGAGGACGGAUGUAAAGAAUUGUGUCUAGUCUGGCGUGAAAGGAUGAGAGUCCCCUGCAGCCAGGGCUUCUCUAGGGGUCUUCUGGCAGCUCCAAAGGAUGGAGCUAUUGUAUGGUGAGAGGCACUAGGAGGGCUUACAUGGGACAUUUAGAGGAGGUGAGUCGGGCACGUAAAACAUUUAAAGACCUUACAAAAUGUAAGUGUAAGGAGCAAUAAGGAACUGGGGCAUUUCACACUCCGAGGGCUAAGAAAGGUCACAGGAGUAAAGUUCUCACGAGUUCAAGAAAAUAUGGCCGGCUUCCCGAAUUCCAUGUCAUCGUUGUGCGGAGGAUGGAGGAAAUUGCUAAUCUUCUCUGCGUUGUUCCACUUUUUCUGUCUGUGCUGACAAAACGAUCGCUAUCGUUAUGUUCAAUUUUACUUUUAUUAUGUACGAAAUGAAGCCGGGCCAAGUUUGACAGCCUUAGUUUAAAUGGGCACUGACUUCUGAGCCAGGAGGACUUUUAGGUUCUCCUUAGAAGCCAACAACUGUAAAAAAAAACCGUGCCAACAUUAAAAUAAAACAUUAAAAAUUACAAAAACCAAAAUCCCCCACAUUGGAGGUCUGAUAGGUUUUCCUUAGUCUAAUGUAAAAGGGAUUGGUGGUCCCAGGGGACUCAGUGGGGCCCCAAAGUUUUAUGGGUACCAGCAUUUUGCUUGUGCCAUACGGUACCUUCAGAUGGAGGUGAAAUCGCGUGGCAUUAGCAAAAAUAAAAAUAAAUAAAUUAUUAGCAAAGAAGGCUGCCAAAUCACAUCGUUGUGUCCAUCCUGACGAGGUUCCCCCAGUUUUCUACUAAAGAUGAACUCAGCCCUUUGGUAGCUGGCCAGUCCCCCAUGGGGCAUUGCCAGACCCUGUGGAAUUCUUCAUUUUGAAGAUCAAAUGUGGGAGUGUCCCACCCUUUUCUUUAGGUUAGUGCAGACAUAGGAGGAGACGGUACCUCUGGCAGCUAGGCUUAAAAUAGGGAGGACAAAAGAGAGCCAGGUGAAGGUACUGCAUGGCCUCACUCACAGAAGCAGAGCAUUGUAAAAGAAGUCAGUAGUAACUGGAAUCACAGAGUUGCAUAAGAACCAACUUCCAAAGAAUGUCACCGGCCCAGUUCCAGGAUGGGGCAGGAAAUGCGCUGCCUCCUCUCCUUUCUAGGUCACAGAGUCGGAGGGCUAGCCUGAGUCACGCCACGCGGAAAUAAAAAUGGGCAUC